GUGAUAAGCUGCGAUAAGCUUCGGGGAGUUGCACGUAAACUUUGAUCCGAAGAUUUCCGAAUGAGGAAACUCACUUAGAGUAAUGUCUAAGUAUCAUUAAGUAAAUACAUAGCUUAAUGAGGGGAACUCAGGGAACUGAAACAUCUAAGUACCUGAAGGAAGAGAAAGAAAUUCGAUUCCGUAAGUAGCGGCGAGCGAACGCGGA
rnacentral:rRNA from 1 species